rnacentral:rRNA from 1 species
UGGUGGAGUGAUUUGUCUGGUUAAUUCCGAUAACGAACGAGACCUUAACCUGCUAACUAGAUAUGCUCAUUAUAUGGGUACAAUCUUCUUAGAGGGACUACGUCAUAAAAAAUACAUGGAAGUUUGAGGCAAUAACA